rnacentral:rRNA from 1 species
UACAGAGGUCCCGAGCGUUGUUCGGAUUCACUGGGCGUAAAGGGCACGCAGGCGGUGCGGCGCGUUUCGCGUGACAGCGGAGGGCUUAACUCUCCGAGGAUGCGAAAGACGGCGGCACUUGAGGGCCAGAGAGGGACACGGAAUUCCGGGUGGAGUGGUGAAAUGCGUAGAGAUCCGGAGGAACACCGAAGGCGAAGGCAGUGUCCUGGCUGGUGACUGACGCUGAGGUGCGAAAGCUAGGGGAGCGAACGGG